AUCUACAGCCAAACAACACUGAAUGUGUCUGAUCUCGGAAGCUAAGCAGGGUCGGGCCUGGUUAGUACUUGGAUGGGAGACCCCCUGGGAAUACCAGGUGCUGUAGGCU
ensembl:rRNA 5S_rRNA 5S ribosomal RNA